rnacentral:rRNA from 1 species
UACGAAGGGAGCUAGCGUUGUUCGGAAUCACUGGGCGUAAAGCGCGCGUAGGCGGACGUGUCAGUCAGGGGUGAAAUCCCGGAGCUCAACUUCGGAACUGCCUUUGAUACAGCACGUCUUGAGUCCGGAAGAGGUGGGUGGAAUUCCUAGUGUAGAGGUGAAAUUCGUAGAUAUUAGGAAGAACACCGGUGGCGAAGGCGGCCCACUGGUCCGGUACUGACGCUGAGGUGCGAAAGCGUGGGGAGCAAACAGG